CAUUCGAUGUAGGGUUUUCGGGAGUGCUUAAGUGACUCAGAAAUUUACACUCAUUCUUAAAAAAUACACCUGGGGAGGUCUAUCUGAUGGUAAAGCAAAGUCACUGAGAUGCUUUGGAUAUCCUUAGCCUGGAUUUCCAAAACUAAUUGUUCUUAAUUAUAAGACUGAAAAGCUUGAGUCUGCUCAGCAAAUGAAUAAUCAUUUGCUUCUCACGAAGAAGGCAGCAACCGAAACAACAUCAGGGACCAGUCCCCAUCACCAGGAGGUACAAUGCUGAUUGCCAACUGGAUGAACAUAGGAAGAAAGCCUUCCUAAGCACCUGUCAAAAUGGAGUCUAGCUUCAAACCUGAGCCUACGAAUAGUGACCAGAGCCAAUCUACAGCUUUCCCUGCUGUCAUCGAUCCCAAGCUUUUCAUUACCAUAUCACAUACUGAAGGGUUUCACUUCCAUACAUUCCAUAAAGACACUGGACCUCAUCUUGACACUUUUCCCAGUGUUGUGCUGGGUAAGAGAUCUGCAAUUAUAGCCAGCCAGCUGUUUGCACACUCUGAAACCACAACCAUAAAAGAAAGCAGGCUCAGUAGGGGUGUGACAGAGCCAAUUUCCCAAAUUCUGGAGGUUUUCUAUUAAACUGCCAUGCAAUGUUGUUCUUAAUGCACUCGUACUUUAAAAUAAAUGGAAACUUGUGAACUGACACUGUUAAUGACCAACAAACAACAGCAUCAAAAUUGUAUUUGGAGUAAGGAAAACAGAAUUACCUUGUAUUUGGCUGCUCUGACAAUGUAGGACAAGAUAGUCUCAGUCUUGCAGUUUAGCUGUUUUAUGUUAUCCAUCAAAAUCUGGGAUGAUACAUGAACAAAAUGUGGAACAUCUGUAUAUUGUUGAGAGCCUCAGCAUAAUUUUUAAUUAGAAGAUGUGUUUUGAAUGUUUUCUCACUUAGUGUGCUAAAUAAACCAGCAAUUUUAAAAACACAAACCCCAAAUUAUUUAUGGCAACCCAAUUAAUUCACUGUUCCAAACCCAAAACUAGCCCAGCAUGAAUGCUGACCUCACCUCUGCUACUAUAGCUAAAAGGAAAACUGAUGCACUACUCAGGCUAGGCAUAAUUAAGAAGAUUUAAAAGUCUUCUACUGGAUUUUUCAGUCAUUUGUUAGAUAUCUGCCAGGGAAAAAAUAGUGAUAGAGAUUCUGUUCUCAGGGUCAGUGAAAGAGUGCGGUCUUUCAAUAAAGCAUAUGCUAACAUCAAGUCCAUCACAUAAAAAUGGGGAGAGAAUAAAAAUAGAAGGAUUAGUGUGCAAAAUUGAAAGAAAGGGACAGGUUUAUGGUGAGGUUAUGAACAGUUUCACAAGGAAUUGAUUACUGUUUUGAUUAAUGUCCUGGCUCUAGAAAUAGAGGAGUCUGCAGGUGACGUGAAGUUAACAGGCAAGAGGACAA